UGUCUUCUGAAGCCACGUGUAGCCUGCGGCAGCGUAGCUCCAAAUUCCCCGGGCGCUCGCUGUGCUCUGUGGCCGGUUGGACCCACAUUGUGUCCACCUCGUGACUGUGCCCUAUCAAACAUUCUUGGAGAGAUGACCUCGGCAGUGACCUACCUGGGUGGGACCUCCUCCUGUGUCUCAGGGCCUUUGGUCACACUGUUUCGGCUAACUCCAUGUCCUGAGUCGGUU